GGCAGCUCCUGUCUGGUGGAGUUGUUGCCUGACUGGAGGGACAAGGGCAGAAUGAUGGGUGGCGUUGAGGCAAUCUGAGCCCUGUGGCCCCUGUGAGGUCUGGGAACAUGUGUCAACAAGAGGCCUUUGUGUGGGCUUUCUUAUUCACUCUUCCAUCAGACUUAAAAAAAGAAGUUGGCCCAGUCCCCAGGGCUCCCCCAGCUCCACCCAGUGCAGGAGAGUGAGAAGCAAGUCUGGCAGUUGAUGUGGCCACUCAUCCAAAAUUGGCGUGGUGGAUUGUAUUUACUCAUAUUUCAUAGAAUUCGUUACCCAGGGUCCCUGGUUUUUGGCUUUAGGAUGGUGUGAAAGCAAUACACAUUUGGUAGAAAAUGUUCUUUGAAUUCUGAAUUUUGU
rnacentral:lncRNA from 1 species